GACGAACGCUGGCGGCGUGGAUUAGGCAUGCAAGUCGAACGGUAUCAUCCUUUCGGGGGUGAGAGAGUGGCGAACUGGUGAGUAACACGUAGGUUAUCUACCCUCAAGACGGGGACAACCCAGGGAAACUUGGGCUAAUACCGGAUGUGAGCAACUUUUAGUUGUUUGAAAGGUGGCGUAAGCUGUCGCUUGGGGAUGAGCCUGCAUCCUAUUAGUUAGUUGGUGAGGUAACGGCUCACCUAGGCAAUGAUAGGUAGGCGGCCUUAACGGGUGGUCGCCCACACUGGGAUUGAGAUACGGCCCAGACUCCUACGGGAGGCAGCAGUCGAGAAUAGUCUACAAUGGUCGGAAGACUGAUAGUGCGACGCCGCGUGAACGAUGAAUCCCUUCGGGGUGUAAAGUUCUUUUAUAUGUGAGCAGUGCUUCUUAUAUUAACAGUAUGGGGAGAGAGAUAUUAGCAUAUGAAUAAGCAACGGCUAACUCCGUGCCAGCAGCCGCGGUAA
rnacentral:rRNA from 1 species